rnacentral:ncRNA from 1 species
AAGUUUUAUUCUUGCUUUAAUUUGUUCAAUUUUUGUUUGUUCUAUAUGUAAGUGAGUGCGUGAUUAAGCUUUAAGUUCUAGAUGGGGUUAGGGCAUAUAUGUGGUAUUUCUCAUUAGUUGUUAUUAGUUGAUCGAGUAUCCUUGUAUUUAGCAAUUCAUUUUAGUUUCGGUUAAAUUUUGUGCCAGCAGCCGCGGUUAUACCUUGGAGGCGUUUGAACAGGCUUGGUAUUAAAGGUAGUUAUAUGCUUAUUUUGUUUGAUUUUGUUUAGGUGGUUUGUGGGUGAAAUUUUUAUUAUUUCUAUUUAUCUUUUUUUGAUUUGGAGGCUAUGAAAUUUUAUUUGUAAACUAGGAUUAGAUACCCUAUUAUUUUAGAAUGUUAAUUUUGUGUACCUGAGUAGUAAUAGUUAUGUUCUUGAAACUUAAAGAAUUUGGCGGUAUUUCAUUCCGUCUAGAGGAAUCUGUCUCGUUAUCGAUAGUCCACGUUGGACCUUACUUAUAUUGAUUUGGUUUGUAUACCGCCGUUUAUUGAUUAUCUUUUUAGAGUUAUGUUAAUUUUCUGGUUUCUUUAUUUUGAUGAAUUUCAGGUCAAGGUGCAGCUUGUUUUUAAGUGGGAUGAUGGAUUACAUUAGUAUUUGUUUGUGGAUUGUUGGGUUUAAUACUGGCAUGAAAUUGGAUUUAGUUGUAAUAAUUUGUAGAUUGUUAUUAUGAUAGGUGGUUCUGGAAUAUGCACACAUCGCCCGUCGCUCUCGUUUUGUUUAUAUGAUGAGAUAAGUCGUAACAAAGUGGUUGUACCGGAAGGUGCGGCUGGAUUGAU